CUGUGUGGGUGCUGUUCACCCCAGAAGGCUACAUGUCACCCUCCCGGGGCUUGGGGGCAGGUGAUCUGCUGCAAACUUGGGGCUCAUGCUGCCGGCCGUGCUGGCUGGCUUCCCUCCGUCAAAUCUCAGCUUCAUGUCCUUCGAGGAAAGAGAGGCCUGUCUUGACCAGAUCUCCCAUCACUCUGUUACAGCAUCUUCAGUAUUUUUCUUCAUUACACAUCAUCACAAUUGACAGCCGAAUCAUCUUUUCUGUGCCAGACUUCUCCAUCAAGGGCUGAAGUUACAGAAACGGAUAAAAAUGGUCUCUGGUGUCAAAGAGAUCCUGGAUAGUCAUGAGAAAGACAAUCCAGUGAAGAGAAAGUAUCGCUCUGAGGGAGAGAAGAGACGCUGGCGGGAUGCACAGGGCUGCUCUAUGAAACCCAGGGGCUGUCAAGUGUUGUGGAAGCAAGACGUGAACUAUCAGGAGCCAGGACUGGCUGGUGGUCUCACACUUCCCCAGCUCGGAGUUUCUUUCCUCCGUACCUUCUCUCUCUCUC